rnacentral:rRNA from 1 species
CCUACGGGUGACAGCAGUGGGGAAUAUCGCACAAUGGGGGAAACCCUGAUGCAGCGACGCCGCGUGAAGGAAGAAGUAUUUCGGUAUGUAAACUUCUAUCAGCAGGGAAGAAAAUGACGGUACCUGACUAAGAAGCCCCGGCUAACUACGUGCCAGCAGCCGCGGUAAUACGUAGGGGGCAAGCGUUAUCCGGAUUUACUGGGUGUAAAGGGAGCGUAGGCGGUUUAGCAAGUCAGAAGUGAAAGCCCGGGGCUCAACUCCGGGACUGCUUUUGAAACUGUUGAACUAGAGUGCAGGAGAGGUAAGUGGAAUUCCUGGUGGAGCGGUGAAAUGCGUAGAUAUUAGGAGGAACACCAGUGGCGAAGGCGGCUUACUGGACUGUAAAUGACGCUGAGGCUCGAAAGCGUGGGGAGCAAACAGGAUUAGAUACCCCGGUAGUC